rnacentral:rRNA from 1 species
UACGUAGGGUGCAAGCGUUGUCCGGAAUUAUUGGGCGUAAAGAGCUCGUAGGCGGUCUGUUGCGUCGGCUGUGAAAACCCGGGGCUCAACCCCGGGCCUGCAGCCGAUACGGGCAGACUAGAGUUCGGCAGGGGAGACUGGAAUUCCUGGUGUAGCGGUGAAAUGCGCAGAUAUCAGGAGGAACACCGGUGGCGAAGGCGGUGAUCUGGGCCGACACUGACGCUGUAGAGCGAAAGCGUGGGGAGCGAACAGG